ACGAGGAGCUUGCUUCUCUGACGUUAGCGGCGGACGGGUGAGUAACACGUGGAUAACCUACCUAUAAGACUGGGAUAACUUCGGGAAACCGGAGCUAAUACCGGAUAAUAUAUUGAACCGCAUGGUUCAAUAGUGAAAGACGGUUUUGCUGUCACUUAUAGAUGGAUCCGCGCCGCAUUAGCUAGUUGGUAAGGUAACGGCUUACCAAGGCAACGAUGCGUAGCCGACCUGAGAGGGUGAUCGGCCACACUGGAACUGAGACACGGUCCAGACUCCUACGGGAGGCAGCAGUAGGGAAUCUUCCGCAAUGGGCGAAAGCCUGACGGAGCAACGCCGCGUGAGUGAUGAAGGUCUUCGGAUCGUAAAACUCUGUUAUUAGGGAAGAACAAAUGUGUAAGUAACUAUGCACGUCCUGACGGUACCUAAUCAGAAAGCCACGGCUAACUACGUGCCAGCAGCCGCGGUAAUACGUAGGUGGCAAGCGUUAUCCGGAAUUAUUGGGCGUAAAGCGCGCGUAGGCGGUUUUUUAAGUCUGAUGUGAAAGCCCACGGCUCAACCGUGGAGGGUCAUUGGAAACUGGAAAACUUGAGUGCAGAAGAGGAAAGUGGAAUUCCAUGUGUAGCGGUGAAAUGCGCAGAGAUAUGGAGGAACACCAGUGGCGAAGGCGACUUUCUGGUCUGUAACU
rnacentral:rRNA from 1 species